UACCAGCACCCCGAGUGGUCGGGACGAUUAUUGGGCCUAAAGCCUCCGUAGCCGGUCCUGCAAGUCUUCCGUUAAAUCCAGCUGCUCAACAGAUGGGCUGCGGGGGAUACUACAGGGCUAGGAGGCGGGAGAGGCAAGCGGUACUUUAUGGGUAGGGGUAAAAUCCGUUGAUCCAUAGAAGACCACCAGUGGCGAAGGCGGCUUGCCAGAACGCGCUCGACGGUGAGGGAUGAAAGCGGGGGGAGCAAACCGG
rnacentral:rRNA from 1 species